rnacentral:rRNA from 1 species
GUGUCAGCCGCCGCGGUAAUACGGAGGGUGCGAGCGUUGUCCGGAAUCAUUGGGUGUAAAGGGUGCGUAGGCGGGCUGCUAAGUCUGGGGUGAAAUCCUGCCGCUUAACGGUAGAAUGGCCCCCGAUACUGGCAGUCUUGAGUACAGAAGAGGUCGGUGGAAUUCGUAGUGUAGCGGUGAAAUGCAUAGAUAUUACGAAGAACACCAGUGGCGAAGGCGGCCGGCUGGUCUGUAACUGACGCUGAGGCACGAAAGCGUGGGGAGCGAACAGGAUUAGAUACCCUGGUAGUCCACGCCGUAAACGAUGGAUGCCAGCCGUUGGGCAGCAUGCUGUUCAGUGGCGCAGUUAACGCAUUAAGCAUCCCGCCUGGGGAGUACGGUCGCAAGGUUAAAACUCAAAUGAAUUGGCGGGG